rnacentral:rRNA from 1 species
AGCUGCAGAAGAAGCACCGGCUAACUCCGUGCCAGCAGCCGCGGUAAUACGGAGGGUGCGAGCGUUAAUCGGAAUUACUGGGCGUAAAGCGCAUGCAGGUGGUUUGUUAAGUCAGAUGUGAAAGCCCGGGGCUCAACCUCGGAAUUGCAUUUGAAACUGGCAGACUAGAGUACUGUAGAGGGGGGUAGAAUUUCAGGUGUAGCGGUGAAAUGCGUAGAGAUCUGAAGGAAUACCGGUGGCGAAGGCGGCCCCCUGGACAGAUACUGACACUCAGAUGCGAA